rnacentral:rRNA from 1 species
UGAGCGGCGGACGGGUUAGUAACGCGUGGGAACGUGCCCAGAUCUAAGGAAUAGCCACUGGAAACGGUGAGUAAUACCUUAUACGCCCUUCGGGGGAAAGAUUUAUCGGAUUUGGAUCGGCCCGCGUUAGAUUAGGUAGUUGGUGGGGUAAUGGCCUACCAAGCCUACGAUCUAUAGCUGGUUUUAGAGGAUGAUCAGCAACACUGGGACUGAGACACGGCCCAGACUCCUACGGGAGGCAGCAGUGGGGAAUCUUAGACAAUGGGGGAAACCCUGAUCUAGCCAUGCCGCGUGAGUGACGAAGGCCCUAGGGUCGUAAAGCUCUUUCGCCAGGGAUGAUAAUGACAGUACCUGGUAAAGAAACCCCGGCUAACUCCGUGCCAGCAGCCGCGGUAAUACGGAGGGGGUUAGCGUUGUUCGGAAUUACUGGGCGUAAAGCGUACGUAGGCGGAUUGGAAAGUUGGGGGUGAAAUCCCAGGGCUCAACCCUGGAACUGCCUCCAAAACUACCAGUCUAGAGUUCGAGAGAGGUGAGUGGAACUCCGAGUGUAGAGGUGAAAUUCGUAGAUAUUCGGAAGAACACCAGUGGCGAAAGCGGCUCACUGGCUCGAUACUGACGCUGAGGUACGAAAGUGUGGGGAGCAAACAGGAUUAGAUACCCUGGUAGUCCACACCGUAAACGAUGAAUGCCAGUCGUC